rnacentral:rRNA from 1 species
AUUGAACGCUGGCGGCAUGCCUUACACAUGCAAGUCGAACGGUAACAGGUCUUCGGAUGCUGACGAGUGGCGAACGGGUGAGUAAUACAUCGGAACGUGCCUAGUAGUGGGGGAUAACUACUCGAAAGAGUGGCUAAUACCGCAUGAGAUCUACGGAUGAAAGCAGGGGAUCGCAAGACCUUGUGCUACUAGAGCGGCCGAUGGCAGAUUAGGUAGUUGGUGGGAUAAAAGCUUACCAAGCCGACGAUCUGUAGCUGGUCUGAGAGGACGAUCAGCCACACUGGGACUGAGACACGGCCCAGACUCCUACGGGAGGCAGCAGUGGGGAAUUUUGGACAAUGGGGGCAACCCUGAUCCAGCAAUGCCGCGUGCAGGAAGAAGGCCUUCGGGUUGUAAACUGCUUUUGUCAGGGAAGAAAUCCCUUGGGUUAAUACCUCGGGGGGAUGACGGUACCUGAAGAAUAAGCACCGGCUAACUACGUGCCAGCCGCCGCGGUAAAAC